GUGGGGAAUCUUAGACAAUGGGCGCAAGCCUGAUCUAGCCAUGCCGCGUGAGCGAUGAAGGCCUUAGGGUUGUAAAGCUCUUUCGUGGGGGAAGAUAAUGACUGUACCCCAAGAAGAAGCCCCGGCUAACUCCGUGCCAGCAGCCGCGGUAAUACGGAGGGGGCUAGCGUUGUUCGGAAUUACUGGGCGUAAAGCGCACGUAGGCGGACUGGAAAGUCAGGGGUGAAAUCCCGGGGCUCAACCCCGGAACUGCCUUUGAAACUCCCAGUCUUGAGUUCGAGAGAGGUGAGUGGAAUUCCGAGUGUAGAGGUGAAAUUCGUAGAUAUUCGGAGGAACACCAGUGGCGAAGGCGGCUCACUGGCUCGAUACUGACGCUGAGGUGCAAAAGCGUGGGGAGCAAACAGGAUUAGAAACCCCGGUAGUCC
rnacentral:rRNA from 1 species